UACGUAGGGGGCAAGCGUUGUCCGGAAUCAUUGGGCGUAAAGCGCGUGUAGGCGGCCUUGUAAGUCCGUUCUGAAAGUCCGGGGCUCAACCCCGGGAGGCGGAUGGAUACUGCAAGGCUCGAGUCCGGAAGAGGCAAGUGGAAUUCCCGGUGUAGCGGUGGGAAAUGCCGCAGAUAUCAGGAGGAACACCAAUAGCGAAGGCAGCUCGCUGGACGUUACUGACACUGAGGCGCGAAAGCGUGGGGAGCGAACAGG
rnacentral:rRNA from 1 species